GAUGAACGCUGGCGGCGUGCCUAAUACAUGCAAGUCGAGCGAACGGACGAGACGCUUGCUUCUCUGAUGUUAGCGGCGGACGGGUGAGUAACACGUGGAUCACCUACCUAUCCGACUGGGAUCACUUCGGGAAACCGGCGCUUAUACCGGAUAAUCUUUUGAACCGCGUUGUUCAAAAGUGAAAGACGGUCUUGCUGUCUCUUCUAGCUGGAUCCGCGCUGCAUUAGCUAGUUGGUAAGGUCACGGGCUACCAAGGCAAGGAUGCGUAGACGACCGAUGAGGGUGGUCGCCCACAUGGGAGCUGAGACACGGACCAGACGCCUACGGGAGGGAGCAGAAGCGAAUGUGCCGCAGUAGGCGAGAGCCUGACGGAACAGCGCGGCGUGAGAGAUGAAGGCCUCCGGAGCGGGAUGCUCUGUUAUUGGGGAUAAACAGAUGUCGAAGGAGCUGAGCACAGAUUGACGGUACCGAGUCAGAAAGCCACGGCUAACUACGUG
rnacentral:rRNA from 1 species